CAAUUUCUUCUUUCCUGCCUGCUGAAGACUGACUUCCUCCUGCUGCCAAAGGUUUGCAGUGCUUAUUUAAGGAAUUAUACCUGCUUUGUCUACUAGAGGCAGUCAGCUGAAUCAUCGAGUUCUUGCAGAAGCCUUGAGCUUUAGCACCUAAGGGCCCUGAGACAGUUGUAUUCAACAACCUUGUUGCAUGAAAGAAGGGGAGUUCUGAGGGACAUGGACAUUGCAGACUUUUUCACCAACCAGGAAAACUUUUCAGGCAUCACCCAAGAGGUCCAGCUGAAGAUGUAACAGGUCCUCUAAACUAACUACAAGCUCCUCCACAUUAUCAGGACAAACACAAUUCUAACUCUCAAAAGGCUCUCUUAGGGAAAACCAGCACCAAAGGUCUAGAGUCUGGACGUCUGAGAUCAGGGUGCCAGCACUGUCGAGGUCACAGACUGCAGACCUCCUUGUAUCUUCAAAUGGAGGAAAGAGGACAAGAGAGCUCCUGUGGUCCCUUUUAUCAAGGCAUUUGCAGUGAUACAUCCUAGUGAUGGCAGCAACCGCCCGUCUGGAGCCGCGGUUGGGAAGACGUCGUCUGCAGCAAGGGAGGCGUGGUGGGGCUGUGCCUCUGUGGAGCUGGUGAGGCCGGGAACAGGCAGGCCCCCCGCCCCUAUCAAGUCGCGGGGCAAGAGCCCCUCCCUCCAGAUGCAACUGCAAGGGUGACUCCAGACCUAUACGCCCUAUGGCACUGUAGGCUCGGAAGUGAAUGCACAAGGAAAAUGUUGUACAUUUGCACAUUGGAGUACACUUCAGCCAUAAAAAGAAUGAGAUGCUGUCAUUUGCAACAACAGGGUUGUGCAGUCAUCAGUUAUCUUCAUGGGACGAGUAUGUCCGGAGGGGAGGAAAAUCUGAUAAAAAAUAUUGAAAUUCAAUGAAGGCUUCCACUGCUUAACAAAUGUUACAUAGAAUUCUUCACCGAUGUGAGGAACAUCAGUUUGCAAAAGAAACUCUGCACUUUCAGGGAUAAAAAGACUGAGACUCCAAAUGGUGCUCCUAGUAUUGGUGAAGCUUAGGGAGAGAGCCCAUUGUGUUUCUAUCUAACUGCUCUCAGGAAAAGGUAGAAAAUGUCUCAGAUUCCACAAGAAAGAUAGAAUGUGUGAUAAGAUGACAAUCAGGCUGAAGCCUAGUCAAGAAGAGGGCUCAGAGAAGCUUGACUAAAGUUUCAUGAAGAGAGUCUCUGUCAGUGGUGGGUCUUUGAUUCUCAAGGAAGCUGUCAGAAGCUUCAUCUAACUUCUCUUCCACUCUACUUUCUUCUGGGGAAGAAGUGACCCAACAAUUUGAUCUAAUAUUUGCCUGAUAAUAUUGAACAUCCUUGCAUCCAUUAAAGUUUACUGUUCUAAGACUUAC
rnacentral:lncRNA from 1 species